AGUUUGAUCCUGGAAAGGGCGCGUAGGCGGCGUGACAAGUCACUUGUGAAAUCUCCGGGCUUAACUCGGAACGGUCAAGUGAUACUGUUGUGCUAGAGUAUAGAAGGGGCAAUCGGAAUUCUCGGUGUAGCGGUGAAAUGCGUAGAUAUCGAGAGGAACACCAGAGGCGAAGGCGGAUUGCUAGGCUAAUACUGACGCUGAGGCGCGAAAGCUAGGGUAGCAAACGGGAUUAGAUACCCCGGUAGUCCUAGCCCUAAACGAUGAAUACUUGGUGUCUGGAGUUUAAUUCUCUGGGUGCCGUCGCUAACGUUUUUAGUAUUCCGCCUGGGGAGUACGCACGCAAGUGUGAAACUCAAAGGAAUUGACGGGGACCCGCACAAGCGGUGGAGCAUGUGGUUUAAUUCGACGCAACGCGAAGAACCUUACCUGGACUAGAAUGUGAGGGAAGGUUACUUAAUCGUAACCGUCCGGGCAACCGGACCCGAAACAAGGUGCUGCAUGGCUGUCGUCAGCUCGUG
rnacentral:rRNA from 1 species